CCUACGGGGGGCAGCAGUGGGGAAUAUUGGACAAUGGGGGGAACCCUGAUCCAGCCAUGCCGCGUGUGUGAAGAAGGCCCUCGGGUUGUAAAGCACUUUCAGUGAGGAAGAACGCGUGGUGGUUAAUACCCAUCAGGAAAGACAUCACUCACAGAAGAAGCACCGGCUAACUCCGUGCCAGCAGCCGCGGUAAUACGGAGGGUGCGAGCGUUAAUCGGAAUUACUGGGCGUAAAGCGCGCGUAGGUGGCUUGAUAAGCCGGUUGUGAAAGCCCCGGGCUCAACCUGGGAACGGCAUCCGGAACUGUCAAGCUAGAGUGCAGGAGAGGAAGGUAGAAUUCCCGGUGUAGCGGUGAAAUGCGUAGAGAUCGGGAGGAAUACCAGUGGCGAAGGCGGCCUUCUGGACUGACACUGACACUGAGGUGCGAAAGCGUGGGUAGCAAACAGGAUUAGAUACCCCGGUAGUC
rnacentral:rRNA from 1 species